UGGAGGGCAAGUCUGGUGCCAGCAGCCGCGGUAAUUCCAGCUCCAAUAGCGUAUAUUAAAGUUGUUGCAGUUAAAAAGCUCGUAGUUGAAUUUCGAGACCGGUUUACUGGUCGUGCUUUUGUACGUACUGGUAUAAUCGGUUUCUCUUUUCUGACGAACUAUAAUGCCAUUAAUUUGAUGUUAUAGGGAAUCAGGACUGUUACUUUGAAAAAAUUAGAGUGUUUAAAGCAGGCUCACGCUUGAAUACAUUAGCAUGGAAUAACGAAAUAGGACGUUUGAUUUUAUUUUGUUGGUUUCUAGGAUCGACGUAAUGAUUAAUAGGGAUAGUUGGGGGCAUUAGUAUUCAAUUGUCAGAGGUGAAAUUCUUGGAUUUAUUGAAGACUAACUACUGCGAAAGCAUUUGCCAAGGAUGUUUUCAUUAAUCAAGAACGAAAGUUAGGGGAUCGAAGACGAUCAGAUACCGUCGUAGUCUUAACCAUAAACUAUGCCGACUAGGGAUCGGAUGAUGUUAAUAUUAAUGACUCAUUCGGCGCCUUACGGGAAAC
rnacentral:rRNA from 1 species